UUAAAAUAAGUAUGUUAAUCUAUUAUUGUUUUAUUUGCAUCAAAUAUUUUUAAAACUUAAACCUAAUGAUCAAAAAACUCAGUAAAUGAAUACGCGUAACUGCUUGAUAAAGAUUUUUGACGCUAAAUUCAAAUGGAUCAUUCGAAAAUUUUGAAUUUAAAACAAUUACUACUUUUAGUUGCAACUCGCAUUCCAAGUACAUUGCUGUAUUUGGACUAAUAACCAACCAAAUUUCAUUUUUACUCAAUAAAGUUGAUAAUGUACCAAACCAGUGGAGCAUCCUGGACACUAUUGAUCCACUAUAAGAAAAUGACAAGCGAAAAUUACAAGUAAUAUAGUCGACAUAAUAUAAAUGUCCAACUUAGAAGUGAUGAUAUAUUUUUAAGUUACAAUUAACAGUUCUCAACAAUAAUUGCGCAGAUGGGUUGGUACAAUACCGUGUGAUAGUGUUUACCAGGUUUUUGUUUUUGUGCAUUUGAGUGAUUAAGUUACAAUUGGGUUGUCUGCAGCUAUAUAUCACAAGCUAAUUCAUUCAAUCGCUAUGAGACGCAUGUUGAAUGGAUAAUGAAAAAUAUAUAAUUGAGCAGUAUUUCAAAUUUUAUAAUUUGCUAAAAGUUAGUUAUAGUAGUUUUGACUAUUAUUAAAAUAUGAAAUUUGACUAUAUUUCAGUGUUAAAUUUUUAUCAACAUACAUAACAUCAAUUUCAAUUUAUCUCUUGGAAUAAAAUUUAUUUCAGCAACUGUAAAAUUUUGCAUAAUCAUAAAAAAGUGACAGUACUUUCAAUUCGUUAUUAAUCGUCAUGUUUUGGCCAAAGAAAAUCGACAGCCACUUAGAAUCAAAUUUGAAACGAUGGAUAUAAUUCAAGGUUUUAAUAAUUCAAUAAUAUUCUAUUAGUAGCAAUUGUGUGCAGAGAUAAAAUUGAAAUGGAAGAGAUAACUAAACAAAGAAUCGGAUAUUUUUUGAUUAAAAAAAACAUAUGGUCACAUAUCCUCAAAAAACUAAUAAGGAAUUCAAUUAUUACUAUUAAAUGCUAUACAAUUCAUAUCAGAGCUAUUUUGAGUUCUAGUUAGAAUAAAGAUAUAUACUGAAAACAAAAUAUACAAUAAUUACUUAUGAUAAAAAAAUAUAUGUAUUAUUAUAUACAAAUAAUUAUAUUAUAUAUAUGCAGAACUUUGAAAAAAAAAACUAUAACUUGUGCAGAGGCGUCCAGUGAUGGCACUCAAAUCGACUUGGAUCCCUACUCUAAGACCUUUUUAAGCAACGUGGAGGAUUAUAAUAUUUUUUCUGAGAGAAUUUUACUGAUUUUAUAGAUCUUACUAUACAAAUAAACGUAAUAUGUAAUAUGUAAUAAUAUAUAUGCAAAUAAAAUAAAUGCUA